rnacentral:rRNA from 1 species
UACGUAGGGCGCAAGCGUUGUCCGGAAUUACUGGGCGUAAAGAGCUCGUAGGUGGUUUGUCGCGUUGUUCGUGAAAACCGGGGGCUUAACCCUCGGCGUGCGGGCGAUACGGGCAGGCUGGAGUACUGCAGGGGAGACUGGAAUUCCUGGUGUAGCGGUGGAAUGCGCAGAUAUCAGGAGGAACACCGGUGGCGAAGGCGGGUCUCUGGGCAGUAACUGACGCUGAGGAGCGAAAGCGUGGGUAGCAAACAGG